UACGAAGGGGGCUAGCGUUGCUCGGAAUCACUGGGCGUAAAGCGCACGUAGGCGGAUCUUUAAGUCGGGGGUGAAAUCCUGGAGCUCAACUCCAGAACUGCCUUCGAUACUGUAGAUCUUGAGUCCGGGAGAGGUGAGUGGAACUGCGAGUGUAGAGGUGAAAUUCGUAGAUAUUCGGAAGAACACCAGUGGCGAAGGCGGCUCACUGGCCCGGUACUGACGCUGAGGUGCGAAAGCGUGGGGAGCAAACAGG
rnacentral:rRNA from 1 species